GAUGAACGCUGGCGGCGUGCCUAAUACAUGCAAGUCGAACGGGGAGUCGCAAUACUCUUAGUGGCGAACGGGUGAGUAACGCGUUGGUACCUGCCCCGAAGCGGGGGAUAACGGACCGAAAGGUCCGCUAAUACCCCAUGUGCUCGGUAACGAGUAAAGGUGAAAACCACUUUGGGAGGGGCCUGCGUCCCAUCAGCUAGUUGGUAAGGUAACGGCUUACCAAGGCGAUGACGGGUAGGGGACCUGAGAGGGUGGCCCCCCACAAUGGAACUGAAACACGGUCCAUACACCUACGGGUGGCAGCAGUAGGGAAUAUUGGUAAUGGGCGCAAGCCUGAACCAGCAACGCCGCGUGUGCGAUGACGGCCUUCGGGUUGUAAAGCACUUUUGACUGGGACGAGGAAGGACAGUACCGGUCGAAUCAGCCUCGGCUAACUACGUG
rnacentral:rRNA from 1 species